AUCUAAAUAGUUUAAUUAAAAUCCAAAUUUGUGGUGUUUGUGAUGCUUUUAUAGCUUUAGAUA
rnacentral:tRNA from 1 species